rnacentral:lncRNA from 1 species
CUUCUUCUUUCUUUUUCUUCUUCUUCCCUUCUCCUCCCCGACGCCACACACAUCCUCUCCUCUGUUUCCCGCUGCAGCCCUAGCUACUACAGCUACCUCUCUCUCCUCUCCCUCUUCCCUCUCUUUUCCCUCUUCUUCUUUCCUUCCUUCUCCCUGCUUUUCUUCUUCUUCUCUUCUCCCUCUACUUCUCUUCUUCUUCUCC